UACGUAGGGUGCAAGCGUUGUCCGGAAUUAUUGGGCGUAAAGAGCUCGUAGGCGGCUUGUUGCGUCAGCUGUGAAAACCCGCAGCUCAACUGUGGGCUUGCAGCUGAUACGGGCAGGCUUGAGUUCGGUAGGGGAGACUGGAAUUCCUGGUGUAGCGGUGAAAUGCGCAGAUAUCAGGAGGAACACCGGUGGGCGAAGGCGGGUCUCUGGGCCGAUACUGACGUGGAG
rnacentral:rRNA from 1 species